rnacentral:tRNA from 1 species
CUCCAGAUAGCCUGUUAAGGCUAUGGAUCGCCAAUCCGAAGACGGUGGGUUCGAUUCCCGCUCUGGUCA